rnacentral:RNase_P_RNA from 1 species
GUAAGUUGGGUAGUUGACUUCGGGAUUUUGACAUUAAAUUGUUAAGAAAUAAAAAAUAAUUUCUAAAUUCUGAGGAAGGUCCGCCCACCGAUUAUAUGUUGCUUUUCGAAAGAAAAGAUGCUGUGAAGCAUAGCUCCAGAACAGAAACGACACAGCCAAUAUUGAGCGAUGAAACUUGCGUUAAGCUAAGAGAUAUUGGAUUUGAUGAAACGACUGCCUCAACAGGUGCAACCAUUAUGAAUGGGCUUAGUCGAAUGUCAACAAUUUCCGUCUGCAAAACAGGGAAAUACAGAAGGUGGCCUAUUCCCAACUUAC